rnacentral:rRNA from 1 species
AAUCUUCCACAAUGGGCGAAAGCCUGAUGGAGCAACGCCGCGUGAGUGAAGAAGGNUUNNGGAUCNUNAAACUCUGUUGUAAGNNNNNAACAAGUAUCGAUCGAAUAGGGCGGUACCUUGACGGUACCUAACCAGAAAGCCACGGCUAACUACGUGCCAGCAGCCGCGGUAAUACGUAGGUGGCAAGCGUUAUCCGGAAUUAUUGGGCGUAAAGCGCGCGCAGGCGGUUUCUUAAGUCUGAUGUGAAAGCCCACGGCUCAACCGUGGAGGGUCAUUGGAAACUGGGAAGCUUGAGUGCAGAAGAGGAGAGUGGAAUUCCAUGUGUAGCGGUGAAAUGCGUAGAGAUAUGGAGGAACACCAGUAGCGAAGGCGACUCUCUGGUCUGCAACUGACGCUGAGGCGCGAAAGCGUGGGGAGCGAACA